GGAGUGGUGGCCGAGUGGUCGAAGGCACACCCCUGCUAAGGGUGCAGACCGGAAACGGUCUCGAGGGUUCGAAUCCCUUCCACUCCGCCA
rnacentral:tRNA from 1 species